AGUUUUUGCUUAAAUUCAAAACUUGUAAAAUAUUUUUGGUAAUUAGUAAUAUAUGUUUUUUUAAAUAAAUUCCUUGCCACCUUCAAACAUGUCUUCUAAAAGCCCGUAUGGGAAACAUAUAGUAGAUUACUUGCACCAGUUUGGUUCAAUGACAUUAUCAUCGUUGUUGGAUUAUAUAGCUAAUACAAGUGAUUUACGAAAGUCGGAAUUAAGGUCACGUGUAUUAGAAACUCUAGAACGUAUGGAAGAUAUGGGCGUUCUUAAACGCAUGGAAGGACAAUAUGCGGUUCCGUCAUUAAAUGAAGAGUUAUGUUUUGAACCAACUUAUAGCAAUGAUGCUAACGUGGUUUAUAGUCUAAUAGGUUCAUAUCAUAAAAAAAAAUCAAAAUCAAAAAUAUGAAACUCGCAUUAGUUAUGGUUAGUCCUUCUUGUAGACUAGUAAGCAUAUAUUGGUUCAAUGACAAUUUUGUUUGGAUCCUGUAAUUUGUAACUAAUUAUUUGACUCGAGUUGUGGUAAAUGGCUACCGCGUAUUCCCAUAAAUAAAAACCAGAAACCAUCACGACAAAUGCCAGCGUUUGCAUUUGCUUUUUUCAUCUGCAGUGUCCGCGAUCAGGAAUUCUUUUCAAUGGACCACCAUAGGUAUUUUGGUGAAAUUAAAAUUUUUUUAUAUUCGAAUACGCUUUAUGUUUGCAAUGCAUACAUGGAAAUCCUUACAUCAUCUGCAGUACAACAAUCUGUUAAGAAAUAUGGGCCAAUAUAGAGGAACUCGCUUACAAAUAUUUAAAGCUUCAAUUUAAAAGGAAGAUAAUAGUAAAAAACACACCUCUGCGGGUUAUUCGGACGGUUUGGUAUAAAGAACAAUAAGUUGAGAGAUUAUAUUCAAUACGCAGUAGAUAUAUCACACUUGACUGUUGUCAAAAUAAUUAAUAAAAAUUAUUAAAAAAAAAGUUAAUUAAAUCAACUUGAACAUCCUUUUGCAUGCGAAUAAUUACCAGCGAGUUAUAUCUCAGAGAAGUCUUUAUUUUGAAUCGAAUGAUAUAAUAUUGAAAUACCCAAGGCUUAAGAGAUAAAGGGUUAAUGAAAAU